AAAGAAGCACACCUUUGAAAUGAGCUUACGAAGGACCAAGCAGUUGCUAAGCAGUUGCUUCACCACAUGGAAGUGAUAAUGACAUCAAUAAACCGUAGAAUACCACCUAAACGCGAUGCAGCUGAACAUGCAGCAACGGCCAGUGACAAGACAGGAAGGUUGGAAGUGAAGUUCAUCAAUCAUUAUAAAGGACGAGGUGUGUUCGCCACGACUCCUUUUAAAA